rnacentral:lncRNA from 1 species
CGGAUUUCAGAUAAUGAAAUUAACCAGGUGUGCUACUGCGGAUACUAUGAAAAGAAGGUAGAAAGAAAAUUAGUUAAAUUAGUUUUGCAACUAGUGCAUUUCAUGCGGCUAAAAUUUAUCAUUUUAAAGGUUUUCAAUCGAGUAGAGUUAGGGUAUAAUGUGAGUGAGAGAACGGCGGUACGGCGGAAAUUGCGAGACGAACACUUUUGAGGUUUAGAACUGGUUUUCGAGUGUCAGUGAGGGGUACUGAGAGAGCGAGUGCAAUGUGGCCAGAGAAUGGGAAUUUAGAGGUAGAGAAUGAGCGUCGGGAUGGAGAAUGAGAGAUACGCCGUGGUAGGAAGGUCAAAACAGGUAUGGGGAGCUAUGUUCUAUGGCUGUUUAAGUAUUUUACUUGUGUUCUAUUUUUGGUUUGGGAUUGUAUGGUUGUGAUGAUAGUGAGUUGAAUUGGAUGUUUCUAUAAUUCUGAAGUAUUUGUAAAAGGGUAUGGUGUGAUUGUUGUUUGUCCAGUAUUGUUGAUCUCAAACAGAAAAUGUUAAACUCUGGAACCGUUGGUUGUCUCUAAAGUAAUGUUAAUCUGUGAAAUGUUGAGUAUUGGUCUAAAACAAUAGGUAGUCUAAAUGGAGUAACUUGUGAUUGCGUAAUUACUUGGCAGACUUUGAAAUUAUGUGAGAUUCGGGAACAUUGUAUUGUUUGGAAUAUUUUAUUUUAAAUUGAAAAUGAACUUAUAAGCAAAGAAAUGUUUAUUAUAUCAAUCAAUGCUCGGGUUGGAUAUUUUUAUAAUGUGAUUGUGCUUUCCGUGUUUGAGCAUGGUUGAUAUGCAUUUACAAACGACUGGGCAUGUGUUUAGAGUUAAAUUAAAUUAUGAAUGGCUGUAUGAACUGAAUUGAGUUAAACUGAAACCUUAUUAGGCAGUUCAGAAACUUGAUAAUGUAGUGAUCACAUCGUUCUUGUUCUGUUUUACUCGCCUGUUAAUCAAUUAAAGGAAACAGAUCUGUUUUGGGGUAGUAGGCGAAAGCUGAAUGAAGUUUUAUAAUGAGAUAUUAGGGGCUGGUGGGUUAUAAUAGGUUGAGAGUAACUGGGCAUUAGACGUUGACGUGCCAAGUUGGUUGGACAUGCUACUUGUUACAUGAUACUCAUAUAUGACUGGAUGAUUUGAUUACUUGCGUUUUCUGGAAUGAAUUUGAGUAAUAGUAAGUUUAUCAGUGAUUACUAGGUGAGACUUUGAUGGAAAAAUGGUUUUAAGCUAAGGCCAGGUUAUGCUAUACGUAUAUACUGUUGAAUGAAUGCACUGAUCUUGCCAUUUGAAACUAAUCAGUAAGACAUGAUUAAUUGGUAAAUGUGCAUGUUCUAAUCAUCCUGAAAGGAAAAUAUGGUUGAACUAAAUAGGAUAGUUUGGUAAUCUGAUUGUGAAGAAUGGAAAACUGAAUGUAUAAGGUCCGUUUACGAAUGGUUAAUUAUGUAUGGAGAAUGUCUCUCUGUGAAUGUUUGCCAAUCACGUAUUGGAUGCCAGGUUGCAACUGAACACUGUAGGGUGUAUUUGAGCAUGGGUAGAAUGUGUAAUUCUGCCUUAGGAGCAGAUUGAUAAAGGGUGGAGACGUUAAUUUGAUUGAGUACCUUGCAUCAGUUUAAAUGAUGUUUUAAAGUGGAUGAAUGCAUAACUGACAAUGUGUAAUAUGUAAAGUGGUUGUGGUGGGCGUGAAUGUUAUUUACGUGCAGAUCUCAGUGUGUUUGAUGAUGUAAUGCAGAUUUAUGACGGGUGUGUUAUGAUGAACUUGUUUUGGUAUUGCAAGAGUUUGCAACAUCACGUAUGGGGAUGAUGGUUAUGAACCUUACCUUAAAUUGUGACUGUGAUACUAUGCUCUGGGUUUUGGUAAAGUAUUGUAAACUGUUAAAUGUGAUAUGUGGCUGGUUGUAGAUAUUGCAAAGGUUGUACAUGUUUUAGGUUAUGUUCAAGUGAUCUAAAUUAGUCAUAUUGUAUUAUAAAUGAUCAUAGAAGUGUUAGAUUGAUUUGUGUAGUUUAUUGAUUGGUUUAAUAUGUUGCUGUGUUGUCUAUUCAAAUGGUCGUCUUUAGUAUGUAUUGGGAUUUUAAAAAAGAAUUGUAAUUUUAAUGUAUUGGGUUUCAAACAAUUUUGUAAUUGUGUACAUUUGGAUUUUCCUAUUGAGUUUUUUAAAUAUUAAAUAAUACUGGUUUAUUGUAUAAUUAAAAUCAAUUUAUUAUAGAAAUCAUUCUUGGGUUUUCGAAAUUGUUAAGGUUAAGUGACUUCUAAAUUUGGAGCGUUACAUUUGGUAUUAGAGUUAGGUUUUUGAAAAAAAAUUUGGACCGUGAGGAGUGAGUUCGUCUAGUUUCUAAUGAGCACUCUAAUUGUUGUAGAGUUUUAGGUUGUGAAUGAUUGAUUGAGAUGUAAUUGAUUGUUUAUGUAGUUGGUUCCAUACUUGACAUGAAUUUUGACCUUGAAAUUCCUUGAGUCUUUUGGAAUGUGAGUAUCAUGUGACUUGGGCCAUGCAUAAAGUUGAAUUUCCAUAUACAUAUUUGUCAUGAACCUGCUAAGGCUGGAUGGAUUAGUUAGUUGGAUGAGUUGAGUAUCGGGAGCUGACUUGUAUUUGGUUGUUUAGAUGCUUUGAAAUCUGCGUUCUUGUUUGUUCCUGAUUCGUAAUUAUGGUAUUGUUAGUACAUCGUAUGCAUAUUCAGUUGAUAAAGUGUGUGUCAUAUCAUUGAUUCUAAUUCUAUAAUGUUUGACGCCUUUAAGUUUUGUAAAGAUGACAAUUGAUUUGAAUUUGAGUUCUGGAAUUUGGAAGUACAUACUGUAUUCUGUUUCAAUUGUUAAACAAUGUGGAUUCUGGUUACGUGUUUUGAAAUUACUUCCUGGCUGAUAGCUUAUGUGGCCAUCUGAAUUUAAUAUCCUGCCAUGCUGGAUUUACUCUGUUUCUAUUGAUGUGUGUAGUAGAUAUGGACAAAUUCGUGAUAUAUGUAUAUGUUCUAUUUUGAGAAAAGAGAACUUUGAGUGUUAGAAUGGGAUGUAGAUGGUUAAACUUGGUGGACUGUGAUACGUAAUAUAUGGUGUACUUGAGUGGAUGGUUUGGUUCUUUUAAGCUGUAACAUAGUUUUCUUAAGAACUCAGAAAUUGUCAUGAAUGCUGUUAUGUGAUACAUUGACUGAAGAAUGCUUGACGUAUGCUUUAACUGGUUUGAAUUCAAAGCUCCUUGAAACUGUGAUAGUCUAGGUUCUAUAUUAAUAUAAGGGUCUUUUAUGCACAUGUCACAAAAAAGUCAGAAUUUGACCGUCUAGUUGGGGCGGACUAUUUGAACUAAACCAAAAUUGAAUGAAGAACUGCAUGUUACAAAAUGUUGUGGGUAGAAUGGAAUAAGGAGUUAUAUAAUGUUCUGAUAUGGGGGUAAGCUUUGCAUGAGAUGUAGGUAUGUAGAACAGGAUAUUGAAAUCUGAAUGAACUUAGUAUUUGACCCUAAAUCCUAAAAUGGUAUAAUACAAUUGUUAAUGACUCUCUCGGAAAUUGUUUUGACCUUGGUAUGGAAAUCUGAUUUUAUUUCUGAAAACAGAUUGCUUUGAAAUGUUAUAAUGUAUGCGUAAUAUGCUUGAUAAGAUUGUAUAUUGAGUGUAUGCAGUCAUUAUGGUGAAAUGCUAGUAAUUCUCUAUGUCCUGUAAUUAGCUGGGAUGAUUCUGGUGAAAUAAAGGGAUUAUUAGCUGAAUAACAGAUAUGCUAUAGUUGCCAUUUCAUGUGAGUAUAAGCUGUUUUCCAUAACCAUGAGGCAGAAAAACUGGCGGUGAUGUGUGGUUUUGAUAGAGAACUCUGCACUAGAGAACCUUGAAGUUUGACUUAAAUACUGCACCCAAAAUCCGUUUGUUUUGAACCCAAUAUCUUUCAUUAAAACGCUGCUGUUUUGCACUAGGCUUUUAGGCUCUUUUCUGCAUCAAAUAAGUGUUGUUCUGCAUUGUUGGCUGGCUGUUUAAGCAUUGUAUUAUUGUUGUUUUUACACUGUUUUAAUUACUGUUUCUGGACUAGAAAGUCUUGCUGUUUGGAUUAAAAUUUCUGCACCAAAACAUUGCUGUUUUGGUUAAAUUGCUGCAGGGAAUUCUUUGCUGUUUAGAAUAAAAAUCUGUAGAAACUAGGUGCUGUUUUAGAAUAAGUAUCUGCAGAACAUUGGUGCGGUUUUAGAAUAUAAAUCUGCAGAAAAUUGGUGCUGUUUUAGAAAGAACUCUGCUGAAAAUUUUUUGCUGUAUAAGAUGGCUUUGGAUUCAUGUCUGUUUAAUAUUAGGAAAAGAGUAUAAUAUAUUUCAAAUAGAAGUAGGCUUAACUCUGGAACAAUAAUCUGAUUUAUGUUGUUCAAAACCUUUAUGCAUACUAGUGUGUGACUUAUGGAUGUCCGAAUUAUAAUUGGCAUUAUUUCAGCAAAAAUAUGAUUGAAUGUGUUAUGGUAUACGUGUUGGAUGAUGGAAUACUGUCUUGGUUUGCCUUGACAAAUUUUCUUUGAGUAUCAAUGGGUAUACUAAAAAAUUUGCAUUACAACAUACUAAAACAACACAUUAAAACACAACGCCACUGUUAGAUGGUAGAACUGAAAGUGAUUACAAAUUGGAAAUGCAAAACCAAAGUACAAAGAUUGAAUAUUGAAAAGCUAUAUGUUCCUUCGACACAAAGGACAAGUGUGAUUGAUGUCGAGCCAUUUUUUGAUGCAGUGGUGAUGAAAGAUAUGAGAACAUGGGUGGGGUAUGCGAAUUGCUCUUGAUCCAAUUGCAAUUUCCUCAAGACAUAUACUGCAGGAAUCUUCUGUUUUUUCUUCAAUUAUAAACUUUUCAAGAUUUUUCAAAGAAUUAUAGUUGUUUUGCACGGAAUCAAAGAUCAAAACAUUAUCUUGGUUUGAUCUUAAACUUCUAUUGUUAUUGUUUUGCAUGUUGCUGCCACCCAAGCUCAUGGAAUCAAAGAUAUAAACUUCACCAUCUUCUUCACCUGAUCUUAAAUUUCCACUAUGGGCGAUAUUGCGGUGAUCCUGAAUCACAAAUUCGAUGAUAAAGCCAUCAUCUUCAAUUGACCACUGCAUUGUCAUUCCUGUUACACAAAAAAGAUAGGAGAAAUCAAAACUUGAAAGAUCGAAUGGGGUAGUUUAUUAAGAAAAGAGUACACAAAAUCAUUUGAAAAAUCUAAUAACUUGUUUGAUGUAGGAGAGUUCCUCACUUUGAGAUCACCUUAUACUAUAGAGUUAACUUUUGUUUUGAGAGUUUGAAGCUUUUCUUUCUUUUUUCUCACAAUGAAAUGAAUGACUCAUGGAAGGUAGUAUAUAUAAUAAAAUUUAAUGAAAUAUAAUAAAUUAAAAGAUACAAUCUUGACAACUAUAGUCAUAUACAAAUUAACGUAAUUAAAUAAUAUAUUAUUAAAUUACAUUUAAGUUGGUUUCAUGUAUAGUCAUUAUUCAAAGUCAAAUCAUAAUAGAUAUAGUAAAUUGAAAAUGAUAUUAGUUAGUUAGAUAUUAAUUGGACUCUGAGUAAUGUAUCUUGAUUAUAAUUUUACAUUUAAAGUAUAAAAAAGGAAACAUUAAUAAUAGAAAAAUACAACCUUAUCUAUAUUUAAUUUGAUUAUCAUAUACAAAUUAUAGUAAUUAAGUAGUAUAUUAUUAAAUUGCAUUUAAGUUGGUUUCAUUAUUCAAAAUCAAAUCAAAAUAGUUAGACUAAGAAUUAAAAGAUAUUAGUUAAUUACAUAUUAAUUAGGCUCUAAGUAAUGUAUCUUGAUUAUAAUUUUACAUUUAAAAUAUAAAAAAAAGGAAACUUUAAAAAUAGAAAAAGUAAUCUUAUAUAUAUUUAAUGUUGGCUGGCUGUUUCGGCGUGUUGUAUUAUUGCUGUUUUUACAUUGUUUUUAUUACUGUUUAUGGACUAGAAAGUCUUGCUGAUUGGAUUACAAUUUCUGCACUAAAAGAUUUUUGUUUUGAUUAAAUUGCUGCAGGGAAUUCUUUGCUGUUUAGAAUAAAGAUCUGCGGAAACUUGGUGCUGUUUUAGAAUAAAUAUCUGCUGAAAAUUGGUGCUGCUUUAGAAAAUAAAUCUGCAGAAAAUUAGUGCUGUCUUAGAAAAAACUCUGCUGAAAAUUUUUUGUUGUAUGAGAUGGCUUUGGAUUCAUGUUUGUUUGAUAUCAGGAACAUUAGGGCAUGACAAAAACAACCGAUCUUAACUGUAUUAAAACUGAACUUACAUAAGUGUAAUUGUCAUCCACUUUUUUCUAAUUUUCGUUCAACUAGAAAAAGUUAUUUAAUAAUAAAAUAUUAAUAAAAAAAUUAUUUAUAUAAAAAAUUAAUAAUUAAUUUUUUAAGACAAUUUUUUAAUUACAAUUUUUUAUAUUAUUUUAUCAAUAAAUAUAUAUUAUUUUUUAAAUAAUAUUAUUUUAAAUAAUAAAAGUAAAAUAUAUUUUUUUUAAAAUUUAAUUUUAUUAAAUAAUUAAGUAAUAGAAAUCAUAAAAGAAAAAAGACUAUAUAAAAAAAAUAUUUUAAAUAUACUAUUUUUUUAACAUGUUAUUAAAUAUGUUAAAAAAACUUUUAUAAUGAUAUUAAAAUAUACGCACACACUAAAAUAACUAUUUAUUUUAAAAAUUAACUUAUUUUAAAAUAAAUAUCAAUACUAUUAUUUUUAAAUGAUAGUAUUUUACAUAAUAAAACUAAAAUAUAUUUUUUAAUGUUAAAUUUUAUUAAAUGACUAUAUAAUGAAAUAUCAUAAAAAAAUAGUAAUAUAGCAAAAAUAAUUAUUAUUAUAGAAAUAUCAAAUGACAAAAAAAAAAUUAACAAAUUUUCUAGUAUCAUCUUUUAUUAUAUUAUAAUAGUUAAUAAUAUUAAUUUAAUUUUUACAUAAUAAAAUAUAAAUAAUAAAUAAUUGAUUAAUAAAACAAUUUUAUGAGGCAUUAAAAUAAAUAUAAAUAAAAAAUUAUUUUAAAAUAAAAUAAGCACAUAAAAAGAUAAAAUAAAUUAUAUACACAUAUAAAACAAAAAAAUAUAAAUAAAAAAUUAAAAAACAAAUAUAAAAGUAAAAUAAUAUUCAUGACAAAAUAAAUAUAAAUAAAAAAAGUAAAAAAUAAAAUAAAAUAAAAAAAUAAAAAAUAAAAAAAUUUCCAUACACAUAUAAUAAUAAAAGAAAUAUAAAUAAAAUAGAAAAUAAUAAUAUCAAAUAAUUUAAAAAUUAAUUUGUAAUACACUUAUGAAUAAAAUAAAUUAAAUAUUAAAAUAAAUUUUAAUUAAAAAGAACAUAUAUUAUUAUACUAUUCAGUUUAAAAACUAAUAUAAUUCCGUUUAAAAUUAGUACAAUUUAGUUUAAAAUUAGUAUAGUUAGUAGUUCAGUUCAGUUUAUAUUAUAGUUUAGUAUAAUUUAGUAUAGUUCAGUCCAGUUUAAUAAAACAAAAAACAGUUCAAUUUAUCUGAACUGUUUUACAGUUCAAUUUAGACAAAUUAAUUUUUAAAUUAGUACAAAUUUUAGUACACUGCAGUUCAGUUUUAUUUUCCACCUCUAAAGAAGAUAGUAUAUGAUAUAUUUCAAAUAGAAGCAGGCUUACUUCUGGAACAAUAAUCUGAUUUGUGUUGUUGAAUACCUUUAUGCGUACAGUGUGUGACUUAUGGAUGUCCGAAUUAUAAUUGGUAUUAUUUCAGCAAAAUAUGAUUGAAUGUGUGUUGUGGUAUAUGAUUGAAUUAUAAUUAAGAGUUUGAAACUUUUCUCUUUUUUUUUCUUUCACAAUUAAACGAAUGACUCAUGGAAGCUUGUAUAUAUAAUAAAAUCUAAUGGAAAAUGUAAUAAAUUAAAAGAUACAAUCUUGAAAACUAUAAUCAUAUACAAAUUAAUGUAAUUAAAUAAUAUAUUAUUAAAUGAUAUUUAAGUUGGUUUCAUCUGUUAUCAUUAUUCAAAGUCAAGUCGUAAUAGUUAUGAUAAAAAGAAAAUGAUAUUAAUUAGUUACAUAUUGAUUUGUAUCUUGAUUAUAAUUUUACAUUUAAAAUAUAAAAUAGGAAACAAAUGCAAUCUUAUCUAAUUUAAUGUGAUUAUCAUAUAUAUAUAUAUAUAUAUAUAUAUAUAUAUAUAUAUAUAUAUAUAUAUAUAUAUAUAUAUAUAUAUAUAUAUAUAUAAAUUAUCGUACUUAAUAGUAUAUUAUUAAAUCAUAUUUAAGUUGCUUUCAUUAUUUAAAAUCACAUUAGUUAUAGUAAAAAUAAAAUGAUAUUAGUUGGUUAUAUAUGAAUUACAUAUUAAUUAGACGAUUAAUAUUCAAAAUCCAAUCAUAAUAGUUAUAUACUAAAAAUUAAAUGAUAUAGUUAAUUACGUAUUAAUUAGGCUCUAAAUAAUAUAUCUUGAUUAUAAUAUUAGAUUUAAAAUAUAAAAAAGGAAACUUUAAUAAAAAUUAAAUGAUAUUAGUUAAUUACAUAAUAAUUAGACUAUAGUAAAUAUAAAAUGAUGUUAGUUAGUUAUAUAUUAAUUACAUAUUAAAUAAGCUAUUAUUAUUCAAAAUCCAAUUAUAGAUGUUAGUUAGUUAUAUAUUAAUUACACAUCUUAUAAUGAAAUACAUUAAAAGAUACCAUCGUGAAAAACAUAAUCUUAUCCAAAUUACUCUUGUUAAAUAACAUAUCAAAUUAAAUUUGAAAUAGUUUAAUCAUACUUUAAUCAAGUCCAAAGCAUAAUAGUUAUAGUGAAAAUAAAAUGGUCAAAGUUAGUUAUAUAUUAAAAAAUAGGUAUGUGUAAGUGAAAUACCUUGAUCAUAUUAAAUAGGUGUGUCUAAUGUAAAUUAUAAAUUUAUAAAUUUGAUCAUAUUUAAUGUGAUUGAAGAAAAUUAUAAAUUUAUCGGAAUGGAAUAAAAGUUAUUUUCAAAUAAUAUAGAUACUAAAAAUAAAAUUGAGUUCUUUCUUUAUUUAUACAAUAAUUGAGAAGAUAGAAUUAAAUUGAGAAAGAGGUUAGUUAGUGAUUGUUAAAUUAAUGGUUUGUAAUAUAUUUUUCACUCAUUACUACAAAGAAUAAAAUCUAUAAUGAAAUCUAUCAAAAAUCUAUUGUGAUAUUAAAAAAAAAAAAUUGUUCUUUUAACGAACAUUACAUAAAACAUUCUAGAAUUGUUCUGAAGAAAUGAUUUUACCAUAAUAGGUUUUAUGAUAAGAUAGUAAAUAAUAAUCAAUUUAGACUGUAACGGAAAUUUUUAUUAGUUUUUUUUUUUUUUUUCAUAAUUUCGUUCUACACUUGCAUAAAACGACAGAAAAUAUAUUGAAAGAAAUAGCAACAUAUUAAUGAAGGUGAUUAGAAAUUUUGACAAAAUCAAUAAGAAUUGUAAUUCGUAAUCCACUUUUGAACAAGAAAACUAUAAUAUGUUUCUUUUUUGUCUAACAAGAUUUGUAUUACAAAAUACUAAAACAAUAACACAUUAAAACACAAUGACAUUAUUGUUUUGUUCUUCAAAGGAGUGAGAUAAACAUGUUAGAACGUAUAAAGUGAUUAGAAAUUGGCAAUGCAAAACCGAAGUAAGAUAUUAUAGAUUGAAAAGCUAUGUGUUCCUACGACACAAAGGACAAGUAUGAUUGAUGUCGAGCCAUUUUGCGAUGCAGUGGUGAUGAAAUAUAUGUGAACAUGGGUGGGGUAUGCAAAUUGCUCUUUAUCCAAUUGCAAGUUCCUCAAGACAUGCAACAAGAAUAUUCUGUUUUUUUCUUCAACUAUAAACCUUUCAAGACUUUUCAAAGAAUCAUAGUUGUUUUGCACAGAAUCAAAGAUCAAAACACUAUCUUGGUUGGAUCUU